ACCUUAAGUCAUGGGCAAAAUCAUUAAAGGGUUCAAAUUUUUUACUUUAAAAAAAUUUUGACCCAAUCUAGCUGCAAAAAUUUAAAAGGGGCACACGAUCAUAAUGGAUUCGUUUUUCCAUUUUGAAUGUGCGUAUCUCCCUCCUUCUUCAAUAACCGUAUUUCCUACUUCAAAUACACUUCUCCCUCAUGUAAAUCACCCUAUCUAAAAUCAAAACUUCUCCUAGAUCUUUCAUUCUCUCAGGAAUUUGAUAAGUUGAAAGCAAAGUAACGAAGCAUCACUUGUUGAUUUUAAGUUUGGACGCUCGGAUUCUUGACCAUACUUAGAUAUUCUAGUUCAUCAGAAGUAGCAACGGUGGUUCGGAUGCUCGAAUUCAUGACUUUACUUAGAAAUUAAAGUGCAUCAGUAGAAGAAGCCUUGGUGAGUCAUCUUCCUUCGAGUACGAGAUUCAGUUAUGUAAGUAGUUCGAUUAUUUAGUCAAUUGGAGUUAGUUAGGGCAUGUCCCAUAUAACACCCCAAUUUUCUAAAUCGGAAUGCUACACGGUGCUUAUGACACCGAAGGACUAUAAGCUAACCCAUGACUUAUAGCUGUACCUGUACACUAUAAUAUAUGAUGUAAUAAUGUAAAAAACAUGAACAAUAGGCCAUAAGGUUCAACUGAAUAAAAUAUCUGACAAACGUAAUAUACAUAUGGGUCGCAAAUACCUAAAAAAACAACUGAAUUCUAAAUCAAAUCUAAAUUAAAUCUAAAAGCCUCUAAAUAUUGUCUGAGUAAGGAGUUGAAGGAAAAUGUCUCCAACUAACUCCGUCUAGCAAAAUUAAACUGAAAUAAUAAAUGAAAUAAAAUAAUAUCAU